rnacentral:rRNA from 1 species
GAUGAACGCUGGCGGCGUGCCUAAUACAUGCAAGUCGAGCGAAUGGAUUAAGAGCUUGCUCUUAUGAAGUUAGCGGCGGACGGGUGAGCAACACGUGGGUAACCUGCCCAUAAGACUGGGAUAACUCCGGGAAACCGGGGCUAAUACCGGAUAAUAUUUUGAACUGCAUGGUUCAAAAUUGAAAGGCGGCUUCGGCUGUCACUUAUGGAUGGACCCGCGUCGCAUUAGCUAGUUGGUGAGGUACCGGCUCACCAAGGCAACGAUGCGUAGCCGACCUGAGAGGGUGAUCGGCCACACUGGGACUGAGACACGGCCCAGACUCCUACGGGAGGCAGCAGUAGGGAAUCUUCCGCAAUGGACGAAAGUCUGACGGAGCAACGCCGCGUGAGUGAUGAAGGCUUUCGGGUCGUAAAACUCUGUUGUUAGGGAAGAACAAGUGCUAGUUGAAUAAGCUGGCACCUUGACGGUACCUAACCAGAAAGCCACGGCUAACUACGUGCCAGCAGCCGCCGUAA